UGCAGCUGGAGGUGAGGCUCAAACCUACAACCUUUCCAAAAGCAGUUGUUCUAACCACCACAGUACCAGCUGCCCCUACUGCAUACUUCCUUACUACAUAGUCUUUAUAUAUAUACAACGACGUAAUAUUUUACAUACAUAAUGCUUUACUAUACACACUUGCAAUACGGGCGUGGCGAGCGCGCGCUUUCGCGCGACUGAUUCGCAGCCAGAUUAAAGACGGAGGGAAAUCAACCAUGAGGUGGGGGCAGGGGUCACAUGUCCCGUUCAUCGCGUUGACGCUUAGAAUCUGCAUUUAUUUAAAAAAAAAAAAAAUUGUACGAAGGUUAUCAGGAUUCAUUUGUCCUGCGUUUUUUUGCACCUGCCUGCAUCAAGUGGAAAAGAUGUUUCUGCAGCAAAGCACAUACGCGUUGUAAUAAGUGGCUAAAAACAAUAACAUAACAUCAGAAAAAAAGAUCGAGGACGACAGGGGUGUGCGGAAUGAGAAUGUGUGAAAAAAAGAGCUCCAAAAUAACCAAUAACUGAGUUAAAGACAGAGCUGCAGGUAAACUAUGAAGGCAACUUGCACUCGAUUAUCGAUACGGAUUGUGUAACUUGUUUGCACGGUGUCAACUGAGUGCAAAUGGAAGUGAGUUGCAGUAAUUAUGUAUUAAGCCCUCGUCUCAUCAUUUAAAAAACGAAUUGCAGUCAGUCAUUCGCAGACAAGUCGCGUUUUGUUUUGUUUUCUUCGUGUGUUAUAGUGCAUUUGGAUCAAUGGACUGGCACUUGUACUAAUCUUCCAAUCUGAGCUCAAUCGGAGAGAACUGAGGAGCUCGUCGUGCCCAGGAGUGCACGAAAUUCAUAUUCAUACUCAUACUGUCCGCAGUGAUUCUUAUGAGGUGACCAACAAGGCGGCGGAGACCAGUCAGUGUCCUACUGAGGGGACUAAUUAUGUUUUACUGUGUUUUACCGUUUUCCUGAGAAACAAUGUGGGCUUAACUGCAUGCCUCAGGUUGUAUUUUACCUAUCUUGAGAAAUUAAAAUGGAUAUAUAUAAGCCACUUUUCCACUAGAGUUCGUUUUUGAAAAUGUAUUUCUCUUUAAUUUACAACACGGAGUAGCGUCUUUGGGCGUAGACAGUGCCGUAACUAAGAGUUCUAGUGUUUCACUGCUCAGGACCACUACUAACUAACUAACUGACGAACUGGGCUGGGAGUGACAGUGAGUCCCGCUCCGCCAUGCAGGUGUCUCACUUAAUCUGUAUACUUGGACAUACUUUUUUUUUUUUUUUUUUUUUUUAAUUUACAUUUUUUUAAAUAUAAUUAAUAUGCUUUGUUGCGUCGAGCGUGUGCGUUUUGCAGGGUGUUUGAACGAGGUGUGACGUGGUGUGAGGAAAC
rnacentral:lncRNA from 1 species